AUUGAACGCUGGCGGCAGGCCUAACACAUGCAAGUCGAGCGGAUGAAGGGAGCUUGCUCCUGGAUUCAGCGGCGGACGGGUGAGUAAUGCCUAGGAAUCUGCCUGGUAGUGGGGGAUAAGGUCCGGAAACGGGCGCUAAUACCGCAUACGUCCUGAGGGAGAAAGUGGGGGAUCUUCGGACCUCACGCUAUCAGAUGAGCCUAGGUCGGAUUAGCUAGUUGGUGGGGUAAAGGCCUACCAAGGCGACGAUCCGUAACUGGUCUGAGAGGAUGAUCAGUCACACUGGAACUGAGACACGGUCCAGACUCCUACGGGAGGCAGCAGUGGGGAAUAUUGGACAAUGGGCGAAAGCCUGAUCCAGCCAUGCCGCGUGUGUGAAGAAGGUCUUCGGAUUGUAAAGCACUUUAAGUUGGGAGGAAGGGCAGUAAGUUAAUACCUUGCUGUUUUGACGUUACCAACAGAAUAAGCACCGGCUAACUUCGUG
rnacentral:rRNA from 1 species